rnacentral:rRNA from 1 species
UACAGAGGUCUCAAGCGUUGUUCGGAAUUAUUGGGCGUAAAGGGCGCGUAGGCGGUUUGGCAAGUCUAGUGUGAAAUCUUCGGGCUCAACUCGAAGUCUGCACUGGAAACUGCCGGGCUUGAGUAUGGGAGAGGUGAGUGGAAUUUCCGGUGUAGCGGUGAAAUGCGUAGAUAUCGGAAGGAACACCUGUGGCGAAAGCGGCUCACUGGACCAUAACUGACGCUGAGGCGCGAAAGCUAGGGGAGCAAACAGG